rnacentral:rRNA from 1 species
AUUGAACGCUGGCGGCAGGCCUAACACAUGCAAGUCGAACGGUAGCACAGAGAGCUUGCUCUCGGGUGACGAGUGGCGGACGGGUGAGUAAUGUCUGGGAAACUGCCCGAUGGAGGGGGAUAACUACUGGAAACGGUAGCUAACACCGCAUAACGUCGCAAGACCAAAGAGGGGGACCUUCGGGCCUCUUGCCAUCGGAUGUGCCCAGAUGGGAUUAGCUUGUAGGUGAGGUAACGGCUCACCUAGGCGACGAUCCCUAGCUGGUCUGAGAGGAUGACCAGCCACACUGGAACUGAGACACGGUCCAGACUCCUACGGGAGGCAGCAGUGGGGAAUAUUGCACAAUGGGCGCAAGCCUGAUGCAGCCAUGCCGCGUGUAUGAAGAAGGCCUUCGGGUUGUAAAGUACUUUCAGCGGGGAGGAAGGGAGUGAGGUUAAUAACCUCAUUCAUUGACGUUACCCGCAGAAGAAGCACCGGCUAACUCCGUGCCAGCAGCCGCGGUAAUACGGAGGGUGCGAGCGUUAAUCGGAAUUACUGGGCGUAAAGCGCACGCAGGCGGUCUGUCAAGUCGGAUGUGAAAUCCCCGGGCUCAACCUGGGAACUGCAUUCGAAACUGGCAGGCUGGAGUCUUGUAGAGGGGGGUAGAAUUCCAGGUGUAGCGGUGAAAUGCGUAGAGAUCUGGAGGAAUACCGGUGGCGAAGGCGGCCCCCUGGACAAAGACUGACGCUCAGGCGCGAAAGCGUGGGGAGCAAGCAGGAUUAGAUACCCUGGUAGUCCACGCUGUAAACGAUGUCGACUUGGAGGUUGUUCCCUUGAGGAGUGGCUUCCGGAGCUAACGCGUUAAGUCGACCGCCUGGGGAGUACGGCCGCAAGGUUAAAACUCAAAUGAAUUGACGGGGGCCCGCACAGGCGGUGGAGCAUGUGGUUUAAUUCGAUGCAACGCGAAGAACCUUACCUACUCUUGACAUCCAGAGAACUUAGCAGAGAUGCUUUGGUGCCUUCGGGAACUCUGAGACAGGUGCUGCAUGGCUGUCGUCAGCUCGUGUUGUGAAAUGUUGGGUUAAGUCCCGCAACGAGCGCAACCCUUAUCCUUUGUUGCCAGCGAUUCGGUCGGGAACUCAAAGGAGACUGCCAGUGAUAAACUGGAGGAAGGUGGGGAUGACGUCAAGUCAUCAUGGCCCUUACGAGUAGGGCUACACACGUGCUACAAUGGCAUAUACAAAGAGAAGCGACCUCGCGAGAGCAAGCGGACCUCAUAAAGUAUGUCGUAGUCCGGAUUGGAGUCUGCAACUCGACUCCAUGAAGUCGGAAUCGCUAGUAAUCGUGGAUCAGAAUGCCACGGUGAAUACGUUCCCGGGCCU